CCUACGGGGGGCAGCAGUGGGGAAUAUUGCACAAUGGGCGCAAGCCUGAUGCAGCCAUGCCGCGUGUGAAGAAGGCCUUCGGGUUGUAAAGCACUUUCAGCGGGAGGAAGGCGUUAAGGUUAAUAACCUUGGCGAUUGACGUUACCCGCAGAAGAAGCACCGGCUAACUCCGUGCCAGCGGCCGCGGUAAUACGGAGGGUGCAAGCGUUAAUCGGAAUUACUGGGCGUAAAGCGCACGCAGGCGGUCUGUCAAGUCGGAUGUGAAAUCCCCGGGCUCAACCUGGGAACUGCAUUCGAAACUGGCAGGCUAGAGUCUUGUAGAGGGGGGUAGAAUUCCGGGUGUAGCGGUGAAAUGCGUAGAGAUCUGGAGGAAUACCGGUGGCGAAGGCGGCCCCCUGGACAAAGACUGACGCUCAGGUGCGAGAGCGUGGGGAGCAAACAGGAUUAGAUACCCGGGUAGUC
rnacentral:rRNA from 1 species